ensembl:snoRNA SNORD41 small nucleolar RNA, C/D box 41
CGGGAUAUGAUGACACCUGUGACUGCUGACAUGGCCCUGAUGGUUCUUGUAUUCGUACUGGCUGAUCCCA